ensembl:lncRNA
GCCUGAAAAGUCCAUUUUAUCAGUAUAAAUGUAUUUUGAGUUCACAUUUGUGUUUACUUAUCUUAAUCCAUUACUAAGAAUAAAAUUUCUGAAUAACACAAAUGUGAAAUUGAGGUUAUAGAUAGUUGCCAAAAAACCUCAGCAGCCAAUUUAUUUCUGUACCUUGUUUUAUUUGCAUACUAUCAAGAAAAUUGUGAUUCACACAAACAUAAGUAAGUGCAAAUAAUAAGGGUUUUAAACCCACAUCUCAGGAGGCUCUUUAAUUAGAGAUAACUGAAGUUGUAUUCUAAGGUUCAUACAAAAAUAAAUUAUCCUGGUAGUAGAAGUUAAUACAUAAUUAGUCUCCAGUAUGAUAAAAUAGGCGUAUGUGACUCAUUAGAAUGUGCAUUUUUAUUGUUUUAUUUAAAAUAAUGCACUUAUAAAAAUGAAAUUUGAGUCAAACUCUUUUAAUACCCCAGUCACCUUCAAGAAGCUGAGUUUUGGCCAGACAUCAGUUGAAAACCACUGAUUAAGCGUGUGACAGUUACGUUAUAAAUCAGAAGUCUUUCUCCCACAUGUUUGAUGUUCUCUGCCUUUUAUUCCUUGUUUUGAAAAACUAAAAUUUUAUGAAGGUUUGAAUACCAAAGUACAGUUCUGCUUUCAAAAAUCAAAAUUCAAACUUGAAUAAUUUAAGCUAUUUGACCCACAGAAGGUAGUAAGCUACAAAAGAUUGUUUUUAUCUAAACUCUAGUUUAUACAUUUUCAUCUUUAUUUUUGUCAAUAUAUAUAAGCUACUGUGAGCAUUUUAGAGAAUUCCAUAAAGGUACUAUGAGUGUGUGUGCGUAUAUAGCAUUGUAUUUAAUCAUAAACUAAUUUGAUAUAGAAAUACUGCUAUACUGGUACAUUAAGGUCAUAAGUCAUAAUUUCUUUUGGACUCUUUUUACAUUUAACUAAUGGGCGUCACUAUCUCCAUAUUCAUAAAUGCAUUUAAACUGGAAAUUGAACACCAGUGUUUGUUUGGGUUUUUUUUUCUACUAGUGGGAAAUUGUCUGCUUUCCCCUUUUAGUGAAAACAGUAUUUUUUAUAUUUUGUUAAAAUGUUAGCUACUUUAUGCCUGUACACUAUACCAUAGACAUUGAUCAUAAUUCUUGGAUAGUCCCAAACACUCUUAGUGCCUCUUUAUGUGGCCCAUUGAAAUAUUGGUAUUAGUAUCUUGAAUGAAUACAAAGCCUUUAGAAUUUUAGAAACAAUGCAGUGGGCAUCCUUCCUGUUCCUCUCUUUGGGUCAUUUUGGUAGGUCUUGUCCUCCAUUGUCAGGUAAGCAAUCAGGCCAAUGACAGGGAUUGUACAUACGACCAAAUCGAGUGGAUGCACAGAGAGAGAGAUAUAUGCUAGAAUAAGAAUUAUUGUCAAUAGCAUUGGAUAUGUUAUUUGUAAAUCUGUAUAUAAUUUAAAAUACUGACAACUAUGAGAUGAAAAGCCAUGGUGUAAAUGAACAUUGUAGACAUCGUGGACUUGAUGUGAUGAGAAAUCGCUUGUCAGGUUGUGGAGGUAAUUGGUUUUAGUCUGACAAAAUAUGUUUGUAUACUACUACAGCUUGAAAUAGUUUGUCUUCUCUUCCAUAGACUUAUCUUUAAGUUCAGUAUAAUGUCUGUUAUGAAUUUUACAAAAUAUUUAGUUAAGCCAUUACCACAGUUUCUGCUUCUUUUACUUAAAGAGAGAAGGUUUUGUGUGAGUUCUCGUAACCUAAAUUGAUUGUUGAUGAUCAUCCCAAAUUUCAACAGCAAAAUCUUAUGUCUAAAUUUAUUUCUCCCCUCUUGCACAUUUUCUUUUGUAAAGAUCCAAUUGUAGAUAUUUUCUGCUACCAAAUAAAACUUUUCAAACAAUUUGGUUUCAAGACCUCAAGUAGUUGAUUUGGAUACUGAGCUUGUGCACCAAUAAGGACAUAUGUAUUGAUAUUUCUGACCCUUCUUCAGAGUCUGUCUCUAAAUCAAAAAC